GGUCCAGUAGCUCAGUUGGAUCAGAGCAGCUGCCCUCUAAGCAGCGGGCCGGCAGUUCGAGUCUGCCCUGGAUCACCA
rnacentral:tRNA from 2 species